rnacentral:pre_miRNA from 1 species
AGAGCAAUGGCUAGAUCAUAUGACAGUUGCAUGUUUAGUUUUGUAAGAAGUUGCCAAACUGUUUCCAGAGUGACUGUGUCAUUUUACAUCCCCCCCAGCAAU